rnacentral:lncRNA from 1 species
AAACAAUUUAUCAAAGCUUACUCAAAAAAAAAAUAGAUAACCUGAAUAGUCCUUUUCUAUUAAAGAACUUGUACAUAUAAUUAGAAACCUUCCUACAAAGAAAAGUUUAGGAAAUAUGACUCAACUGGUGAACACUACUAAACUUUUAAGGACAAAACAUCCCAUUUCUACCCAAACCAUUCCACAAAAUUGAAAAAUGUGGGACAUUCUCCAGCUCAUUCUCUUACAUCAGCAUUAGGUUGAUCCUGAAAUCAGACAGAGACAUUGUGAGAAGACUAUAGACCAACAUCACUCAUAAAUAUAGAUGCAGAAAUUCUAAACAAUAUUUCAGUAAAUUAAAUCCAAAUUGCAUUGUACAAAAAGUGUGAUAUCUCAAGACCAAGUGAGAUUUAUCCCUUAAAGGCAAGGUUGGUAUAAUUUGGAAAACCAAACAGUGUAAUCCAUAAUAUUACCAAAUGGCAUGGGCACUCUUUUGGGUGAUGGAAACAUUCUAUAUCUUCAUUGUGGUGGUGAUUACAUGAUUGUAUAACUUUGUCAAAUGUUCUAGAGUGAUCACAGAAAUAAUGUGACAUUUAGUUAGCAUAGUUAAAAGUCUUUCAAACAUGUAUAUUUUGAAUUAUCAACUGUAAUAUUUUGCUGUCUUGAAAAUAUAAAUUCUCCGUAUUAUUUGUGCAAUAAUAGCUAAUGUGUGUAUUGAUCAUCAAGCCCAAAAUUUCUUACCUGUUUUCACUUAUGUUCCCUUCACCUGAUAAUUCAUGAUUGACACCAAACUAGGUUUUUACUGUUUUAUUAAAAUAUUCUUUGCUUUUGAUAUUUGCAGAUUUCUACAUGCCAGUGAGUAGAGAAGUAGAUGACUAAAUAAAGUGUAAUACUUAUUGAGAAUUGAUGGUUAGUCCUUUGCAUGUUACUUCCUCAAGCAGAAUGUGAGAUCAUUAAAAGCACAGACCUUGGAAUGACCCACACAAAGUGUUGACAGAGGCUCCAAAAAUGGAGAACAGAGCAAUAGAUUGCAAGGAAUUCCACAUAAUAAAGUGAGCUGGAGGUCCAUUCCAUCCAUUAAGGACAUAUAAAGCAGGUGAGCAAAAUUGGUUCUAUAGGAUUAGCUAAUCACCACUUUCAGCUCAUGUGAAAGGUUGAGGAGGCCAGGGGAGUGUUCUUUGGAGAGAACUGUUAAUGUCCUAGCUUCUUUUCCUCCAGUGGGUAAGGAAAUGAUGACUCCUCCCUUCUCCUCAAUUCAGAAAUGUGCUUCAUGUGAAAUACUCAUAAAAUUUGACAUGUGUACCCUGGAGUUUGAGGAACAAAUGAUUUCAUGUUUGAUUUAAAUAUGAACAGUUAUAAAGCCAGAAGCUGUGGCUGGACCUGCCUCUGCCUGAAGGUCGAGCAAAAGGACGUGCCUGCAGGUUGCCUUUUCAUUCACUGGGGAAGGUACCAGUCUCUAAGGGCUAGUCCCUGCAGAGGGGAAACAGACAACAGUGGCUCAUCUUAAAAGGUCUCAUCCAAGUGGAUGGACAAAGGUUUCUUAAUGGAAUGUGGAUAACUGGAAGCCAAGAGCCUAAGAAAAGAAUCGUAAAUGGCUAGAAUGGAGGGCAGAGAGGUGUAGGGGAGGAAGACAUUUCCUCUACCCACUCUAGGUCCUCCUGGCCAGACAAUGAAUUAAAUUGACAGGAGACAGAAUAACAGGAGAAAAUUAAACAAAGCUUUGUAACAUGUAUGCAUGGGAGCGACCCAGGAAAACUGAGUAACUCCCCCAAAUGGCAGAUGUUCUCAUCUUAAAUACCCUCCUCAGCUAAAGGCAAAGGAGGAUGUUGAGGGUGGGGAGAGUCAGUUAUGGGAGAUUACCAGAAAAGCAAGUAAACAAGAGUAAGGUUAUUAUGCAGAUUUAAGUCUUUGCUUUCUGCAUUGUUAAGAGUUUCUAGAGAUAAGGUCAUCCCCCCUUCUUCCUGGUACAGAGAGGGAGACACCUUUACAGAUGGAGAUUUCCUUUACAUGUGUAAAUCUCUCUUAACAAAGGGUAAAUAAAUUCUACUUUUUAGAGUUUCUCUCAUAUCUGCAGCUUUUAAAAGUAACCAGCCCAAAAUAAUCCUCAUGCCAAAGAGAUAUAUCUUGGGGUGGCCAAUUCCGGUUCCCUACAGAGGUGUUAUCUGCUCCAAAGCAAAUUAAUUCAGACAUUUUCAGCUGGGAUGGCAGAGGAAUCUCCAGUGGUGACUCACCAAGUGGGACACUGCUGCCAGAUAUGAAUACAAGCCUGGAUCCCUUGCCUCUAAUUCCCUCCUUAACCUCACUUCUAUCCCUCACUCAGACACUGGAGGGGUCAGAAGCAUGGGGUGGUGAGUAAGGUAAGUUCAAUGAGAAGAGAGAAGAGGCCAGCCAAGUCUCAGGCUACAGUUUCCCAAGCAAGUGUCCUAGCUGUGUGGAGAGGAAAGAUUUAAAUUGGAAAAGGGUUGGAAGUUUCACAUUAUUCUGGA